rnacentral:rRNA from 1 species
CGCCUUAUACUCCUACGGGAGGCAGCAGUAGGGAAUCUUCCACAAUGGACGAAAGUCUGAUGGAGCAACGCCGCGUGAACGAUGAAGGCCUUCGGGUCGUGAAGUUCUGUUGUAAGGGAAGAACAAGUGCCGCAGGCAAUGGCGGCACCUUGACGGUACCUUGCGAGAAAGCCACGGCUAACUACGUGCCAGCAGCCGCGGUAAUACGUAGGUGGCAAGCGUUGUCCGGAAUUAUUGGGCGUAAAGCGCGCGCAGGCGGCCUCUUAAGUCUGAUGUGAAAGCCCCCGGCUCAACCGGGGAGGGCCAUUGGAAACUGGAAGGCUUGAGUAUAGGAGAGAAGAGUGGAAUUCCACGUGUAGCGGUGAAAUGCGUAUAGAUGUGGAGGAACACCAGUGGCGAAGGCGACUCUUUGGGCUAUAACUGACGCUGAGGCGCGAAAGCGUGGGGAGCAAACAGGAUUAGAAACCCGAGUAGUCAACGUACCA